ensembl:lncRNA
AACCCCAUCAGAGAGAUUCAAAGCAAGAAACUGAAAUUACUAGUUGAUCGAUGAAUGAGGAUGAGCUGAGAAAAAACUACUGUGGAGCUCAAAACAGAAUAUGGAAGGCAUCAGAAGAGAGAGUGAAUGGAUGGAGCAGUUACACUAGGCGUUGGUGUGGAGAGAAGUAUUUUAGCUGUUGUCAAAUCAACAUUGCACUUGCAGAGCUCUGGAGGAGAAAGGCACAGUCCCGGCAGCAGGAAUUGCAGCUGCUCUUCAGCAGUCAGCGCUGGCAGCGGCAGGGCCUCAGGCACAAAUGUGCGGUGCUGCAUCCCCCUGAUGCCAAACACCCAGGUACUGCUCUGAGGGGAUUGCUGCUUGGGGCUGCUGACUGGUUAAAAAAGAAACAGACCCCUUCAUGUAGCCAAAGUGACCCCCGCCUGGGAGCCCACUCUUCUGCCCCUCCUGGCCUCUUUGGCCCCGGGAUGUGUGGUGUCUGGCUGGUUUGCCCUCCGAGAUCCUCAGACAUUCACCAGGAACAAAUAGUCGUGGACAUGGCAAAAUGUUCGUGGCGUAGUAAUUUGCUUUUAAGUUGUCAGUUCUGGCCAUUUUCUACUCAGUGGUCCUUUAUAACGUUUAUAAACACCUCUUAG